AUUGAACGCUGGCGGCAGGCUUAACACAUGCAAGUCGGGCGGAGAUGAGGUGCUUGCACCUUAUCUUAGCGGCGGACGGGUGAGUAAUACUUAGGAAUCUGCCUAUUAGUGGGGGACAACAUUCCGAAAGGAAUGCUAAUACCGCAUACGUCCUACGGGAGAAAGCAGGGGAUCUUCGGACCUUGCGCUAAUAGAUGAGCCUAAGUCGGAUUAGCUAGUUGGUGGGGUAAAGGCCUACCAAGGCGACGAUCUGUAGCGGGUCUGAGAGGAUGAUCCGCCACACUGGGACUGAGACACGGCCCAGACUCCUACGGGAGGCAGCAGUGGGGAAUAUUGGACAAUGGGGGAAACCCUGAUCCAGCCAUGCCGCGUGUGUGAAGAAGGCCUUGUGGUUGUAAAGCACUUUAAGCGAGGAGGAGGCUACUGAGACUAAUACUCUUGGAUAGUGGACGUUACUCGCAGAAUAAGCACCGGCUAACUCUGUGCCAGCAGCCGCCGUAA
rnacentral:rRNA from 1 species